CGGAUCUUUACCGCACACCCGAAUCCGCAUUUUAUAAAAUAUUAUAGCGCGCUGGUGGAAAGGAAAAAGGAAUGGCGGGAUGCGGGCAAACCCUAGCAUUGAGAAUCCAAAUCUCCAGCGAUCGUACUGAUACUGCUAGAUUCUUUGUGUAAUAUCAAUUCAUUUGCUCGGAAUUCUUCAGCAUAUUGAUGCAAAAUAAUGCAUGGGCUAGUGUUUAAUUGGGAUUGAGGUGGAGAGGUACUGGUGGUGAUCAGGAUCAGACAAUGCAAUGUUAUUUUUGAAUUGGCACAACAGUUGUACUGUUGGAAUUCAUUUGUUUUUCUUUGUGCAAUGGGCGAGUUUGGUGGUUUCGUGGGGACUCACGGUGGUGGUUUUGGAUGCAUGUUAUGUUGAGGACAGAGGGGGUGCUGGAAGUUGAUUUGAUGGUGGUGGAUUUGUUGUAAUGCUGUGAAUAAGCAGCGUCUGGUGUUUUCAUGAAAGUUUGAAGAUGAGCAGCAGUAGGUGUAGCCCUCCAUAAAAGGCUGGCCUCCAUGGGUACGGAAGAUCUGCACAGAGGGCUAUUAUUGCUGUGAUCUUCCAUACAAGACUGGCCCUAAAAGGGAAGGGAAGGUCUACAUUAGAGGUCUUUUGCUACUGCAGUGAUCCACGCAAGACUAGUCCUAAAAGGGCAUGGAAGAUCCACACAGAGGGUUAUUCCUAUUAUGAUGAUCCAUACAGGGGGAUAGAUGGCCCUUUUCCAGACCAGUGGAUUUGUGAAGGACCUGCAAGUGACCUGGAAAAUUUGCGAAGGAAUGCACUAAUGUGGCUGUUAACAAAAAUCAUGAUCUUCCUGGGCACAUUGCAGCUGAGUGCUUUCAAAAGGCUUUGUGCUGGAUUGCAGAGAACCCGGAAACAUAGCGAGCAAUUGGCCCAAUGAAGGCAUAUGCCGCUCUUGUUGCAAACCUGGCCACCAUGCCGGUGACCACUGAGCUCUUGAGCUGCCAACUUAUGAUCUGAGAAUUUGCAAGAAUUGCCAUAACCAAGGGCAUUUUGAUCCAGAUUGCACUAAUGGAAGGCUUGCAACAAUUGCAGUUAAAACCAGGCAUCUUGCUUUUAAACGCGAAAGCGAACCCGUGUGCAACAUCUCUGGGCAUUUUUCCCGGCAGUGCCCAAAGGCUGAUGUUGUCGGAGAAAAUAUCACCUAGCACUAUUGUGGGGCACAUUGCAAUGUGGUUUGUCGGAAUUGUGACCACGUCCGUCACAUGAGCAGGGACUGCAUGGGACCCCGGUAAUCUGCCAUAAUUUUAGUGCUGAUGGUCACCUUGCAUAUGAGUGCCCGUCAGACAGAUUCAUGGACGGCAUGCAUCGAUGGUACUGAGAAUGGUGGAUAUUUGUCACUUGUCAGAAUCAUCUUCUUCAUCCCCUCCAUUCCUUUGUGGGGACUUGAUCUAUACAUUAUAACCAAAAUUGUAUUUGAUCUUUCAUGUUCCACAAUUUUGUUAACAUUUUGUAGCAUUGUUUGAAUCUUUCCAAUAAUUUUUCUUGGUACCAUACCAUGAACUGCAAUUUUUUGAGCACAGG